AAGUUCCUGAGUGGGUGAACACCCCAUCCACCUGCUGCCUGAAGUAUUAUGAGAAAGUGUUGCCAAGGAGACUAGUGGUGGGAUACAGAAAGGCCCUCAACUGUCACCUGCCAGCAAUCAUCUUCGUCACCAAGAGGAACCGAGAAGUCUGCACCAACCCCAAUGACGACUGGGUCCAAGAGUACAUCAAGGAUCCCAACCUACCUUUGCUGCCUACCAGGAACUUGUCCACGGUUAAAAUUAUUACAGCAAAGAAUGGUCAACCCCAGCUCCUCAACUCCCAGUGAUGACCAGGCUUUAGUGGAAGCCCUUGUUUACAGAAGAGAGGGGUAAACCUAUGAAAACAGGGGAAGCCUUAUUAGGCUGAAACUAGCCAGUCACAUUGAGAGAAGCAGAACAAUGAUCAAAAUAAAGGAGAAGUAUUUCGAAUAUUUUCUCAAUCUUAGGAGGAAAUACCAAAGUUAAGGGACGUGGGCAGAGGGUGGCAGGGGUACAGAGAGUGCCUGAUUGGAAAAAAAAAAAAAAGAGAGAGAGAGAGAAGAAGAAGAAGAAGAGACACAAAUCUCUACCUCCCAUGUUAAGCUUUGCAGGACAGGGAAAGAAAGGGUAUGAGACACGGCUAGGGGUAAACUCUUAGUCCAAAACCCAAACAUGCAAUAAAUAAAACUCCCUUAUUUGACAGCUUGA
rnacentral:lncRNA from 10 species